rnacentral:rRNA from 1 species
GGACUACAGGGGUAUCUAAUCCGUUUUGCUCCCCAUACUUUCGUACCUUAGUGUCAGUGUUUAGUUAGAAAGAUGCCUUCGCUUUAAACAGUCCUCUAAGUAUUAACAGAUUUCAUCCCUACUCUUAGAAUUCUUCUUUCCCCCAUUACACUCUAGUUUUAUAGUUACUAAAUAAUAAAUAAUUGUUUAAAUUGAUAUUAUUUAGUCUUAUCAAUACCACCUACGUACCCUUUAGACCCAUUUAUGAUGAAUAACGCUUACCCCUCUCGUAUUACCGCGGCUGCUGGCAC